CGGGAUUGAAAAGGACUGGGCUCUGUCACCUGAAUGAGACGCCCGCCUCUCCCGACCCGUAUUUAAUAGCAACAACAACAACACAGCCACGUGGUCUAAAAAUAAUGUAAUACAUUUUCAUCCCGUGCCGUAACGGGACAUUACGUGUGUAUUGCACAUGCGUGUCGGGAGGAAGGAGCACACGGUCCAGUUUCCCCCCCCUCUGUCUUAGGGGUAAGAAGGAUCUUUCUUCUACUUUCUUUGCUUUCGAGAGACUUAAGUGACCGCGCACCGCAGCCUAGUUUGGGGGCUACUCAGGGGUUAAAAUCAAAGCGAAGGGCCCUGUAUACUUGGAACUGUCGCGCUCAGAGUCAAAGUGGGAAAAGAGCCUUGGGCAGAAGGAAAUUACAGCGGGCUUGCGUGACCUUUCCGAGAGGUAAUCAAUCAAGUGAUCAACUGGGAUAUUUAUCAUUUCUCGAUGGGGCUACUUUACAAAUGCAGAAGGAAGGGGUCGCGGAUUGGGGACAGAAAGGAGCGAGGCGCAGGGAGAAAAUAGGCGGAAAGGUUUUAUAUAUGUAUGUGAAGAAAGAACGGAAGAAAAAGUUAGAAUAAACCUUUAAAAAACCCUGCAGACGGCUAAGGAGAAUUUAAUCAGUGGAAAAAAAGGAGCGCACAGCAGCGUUCCUCGUCCCCCCUUCCCUGCACUCUGGUGUUCACACACACACACACACACACACACACACACACAUAUUCUGGAACUCCCGCAGUUCUGCAACCCGCCCGGCAUAUGUGUGAAUUGCUGGACACGUGCGCCGGCAAAGCAACAGACGGGCCUCGGAAAGGUUCUAAAGAGCGGCAGGC
rnacentral:lncRNA from 1 species